rnacentral:sRNA from 1 species
UUGAAAGCCUGGGAUGCUGAAGUCAUCAGAUUUCCUGCAGAACAGGUACAGCGUGACAAGAGGCAUCACGUGCCUUCCCAAAAACGCCCUUUCACUCUAUAAGCUGACAGAAAGGUACCUCCGUAGGGACUGAAGGGUAGUUCAGAUUUCAUGGUCUGUUUUGACACAAUUGGCUACU